rnacentral:rRNA from 1 species
GCUUACGGCCAUACCACCCUGAACACGCCCGAUCUCGUCUGAUCUCGGAAGCUAAGCAGGGUCGGGCCUGUUCAGUACUUGGAUGGGAGACCGCCUGGGAAUACCAGGUGCUGUAAGCU